GCAUAUUCCCACUACUAAUUGGAGGACACAAUGGUGUGACAAUGAUGAUCAUGGUGACGGGAUGCUUAGUAAGACAGUAAACCACAAAAAAGUGAUAAGAAGGGAGAAAUUCGGAAAAGUCUCUAUGUGAACAGCAAGAGAAAUUCGAACACGAAUGCCUUAAAAACACAUCUAUGUCGGUAUUACCUGCUGAAGAUGGGGAUAAUAAAGUGUCAUUCUCAAGACUAAUUCUCCUUCAUUUGCACCCUCCAAAUCAGACUGUCCAUGGAGUCAGCUAUUUAGUUAUUUGCUUAAACGUGUUGACAGAAAGAACGAAAAUGGGUUGCAAAGAUGGUACACUCGAUGCUGCCCAGGACAUGGUGAUAUUGGAGUUGGUGCAGAAUCGGUUCUUCAGCCUUUAAAGGAGAGUUUCUCGGGCACGAGCUAAUGGAGGAUAUAUAUAGGCUCCCAAAUAAUGAAGAGAAUACGGUAUGAAUGGUACCUCCCUAGAAUAGUUAGAGCAGACCCAUUGGUUGUUCAUCACAGCGUAUUUCUGAUGCUUUUAACUUCGAGGGUCGCUGUGGUAUUUCUCUGAGCGCUCAGCCUCCAGCAACUGUGAGCACUCUUCUCCGCAAAGAUCGUCCCAAUUUACUUAACCCAACACUCCCAAGUGUCAAAUCUCACCAAGGUUAGAAAGGGGAUGGAAAAGGGAAAAGAAUUCAUAGAAAGGAGGUGGAAAAGGGAAAAGAACUCGAAUGAUUAAAGGCUUCUGGGAUCUUGCGCCACU
rnacentral:lncRNA from 1 species